UAAGCAGACGAGGUGGUCGUCGGUCCUGACUGUUCUCACGAAUGGAAGGGACGGGAGGAAAGUCCGAGCUCCACAGGGCACAGUGCUCCGUAACGCGGAGUCCCGGUGACGGGAAGGAAAGUGCAACAGAAAAUAUACCGUUCCAUCUUUUUGAUGGAAUAAGGGUGAAAUGGUGGGGUCGUUUCCCUGGUUAAAAACAGGGACAAGUAUC
rnacentral:RNase_P_RNA from 1 species